rnacentral:rRNA from 1 species
GUGGGGAAUAUUGGACAAUGGGGGCAACCCUGAUCCAGCAAUGCCGCGUGAGUGAUGAAGGCCUUCGGGUUGUAAAGCUCUUUCGCCCACGACGAUGAUGACGGUAGUGGGAGAAGAAGCCCCGGCUAACUUCGUGCCAGCAGCCGCGGUAAUACGAAGGGGGCUAGCGUUGUUCGGAAUGACUGGGCGUAAAGGGCGCGUAGGCGGCGCAUCAAGUCGGGCGUGAAAGCCCCGGGCUCAACCCGGGAACUGCGUCCGGGACUGGUGCGCUGGAGUUCGGGAGAGGAGAGUGGAAUUCCCAGUGUAGAGGUGAAAUUCGUAGAUAUUGGGAAGAACACCGAUGGCGAAGGCAGCUCUCUGGACCGACACUGACGCUGAGGCGCGAAAGCGUGGGGAGCAAACAGGAUUAGAAACCCGGGUAGUCC